AAGAAAGUCAAAAACAAAUCGAACGGAAAUACGAAGGUGUCGGAAUCGUGCCGAUAAAAUUUCACUCUUACAGCGGUAAUAGCGGUGAGGUUGAUGGCACCGACGGUCUAAAAGUCGUUAGUAAUGCAAAUUUAAACAGAGAAACCCGCGCACAUUUUCCCACACAUCCCCUAAUGCCCGAGCACAAACUAAAAUACGGUCUGAAUCCAAUAGAUGGCGAUCGCUCAGUCAUCGAGAAUAAAGACGACGUUAUAAAUAAUGGCAGCAUUUCCGAGAGUGGCAGCCGAAGACAAGUUGGACCGAAACCAAAGGAUAUUGGCAAUGUUAACCGCGUAUCUUACUCGGACUCCUUUCCCGAUAACACCGCCGUCAACUGCGUUGCCGACGAUAACGGAUUCCAAGUACCCAGUGACCAUUUGCCCGAUUCCACCCCGACAGAUGGAGGCGUCGAGAAAAUGCUCGCCGAUUUAAAGAAAUAAUAGUAAAACGCUUUACAUUUCCUUCGGAACCGAAAACUGGAAAAAUGUUUUGUCUGGUUCAACCCAUCUGAUCUAACUCCCAGUCUAUUCAAUCAUAUUUAAAGGAAUAAAAUUAUUUAAAAUAUCGUAUGAUCGUAUUUUCUCUAAAACGCUAUGUAAUUAUGGGAUUCCGGGUAUCGGAUUGACUCCGGAUUGAUGUCUGAAAAUGCGUCAUAUUGCACAAGUCUUAUACAGUAACCACAGAAACGAUCGAUGAAAAGUUAAAAUUAAAAAAUUUGCGGGAACCUAAUCAAA